AGAAACAAACUAACAGGACAUUAUAGAAUAGAUUAUAGUGCUGUAACCUGUGGUAAAUUUCCAGAUUAGGGUUGCAAUUGACAAAACUAUUAUUAUUUGUUUCAUAAAGACCUAGUUUUCAGUUUCUCUAUAAAUAAUCAUGUUUUCUACUGCUCCACAGUCUCAGCCAAAAAAUGUGUAGCUGGGUGUCUGAAUCAGGAUGAACAAAUCUAUAAUCGUUUUUAUGUUUGCGACUGUCACUUUAAAGAGUACUGCAAAGUGCCAACCAGUAAGAGAAAACUCAAAAGAGCAGCAAUACCUACUCUUAACAUUGAAGGGUAUGGUGCUUAUAAUGCUGAGCUAUUAUUAAGCAAUAAAGGACAUAUAAUAAAUGGCAUAUAUUAUGCAAAAGAUCGUUGAUUGAAAUAAUAAUAAGCAACAAAAAUUAGUUGACAAGGAUAGACAUGUCAGACAGGUGUAUUCUAGGAUAGAACAAAAUCGUUUAGAAACUAUUCCCGAUGCCAAUGAGGAACCGCCUGGACCGUCAAAAUCACCAUUACCCUCUACCUCCACCUCUAAAACCUUACUUGAUAAUGGAAAUGAACAUGUAAGCUGUACCAGUGACCAAGAAUAAUAAUAAUAUAAUAAUAAUUUCUUUAUUGCUUUCAAGAUCUAAUUAAAAUAGACAAUAGCAAUAUCACAAAACAAACAAAAUUAAAAUUUGAUAACAUCUACACAGUACAUACUGCUAAUAAAAAUAGUAAGAACAAAAAAAACAAAAAGAUAAUGUUGGACAUAAUAAUGGGUGCAUUACCUUACCACUUGUAUCUCAAGAAGGUAGUACCACUGACGAAAGCAUUAGUCUUAUUGAAGAGUUGGAAGGUAUACUUUCCAAAUCUCAAAAUGAACUUGAUAUUAGCUUCAGUGAUAUCUAUAAUUAUGACACUGAAGAAAAAGAAGAAAAUUAUGAAUUUUAGUUAAAUCCAGUUUUAUUACUUUUAUUACCUAC